AGCCACCAGCGAGAUUGAACUGCGACCCUGGUUUACGAGACCAGUGCUCUAACCUCUGAGCUAUGGGGC
rnacentral:tRNA from 13 species